ACGUAGGGGGCAAGCGUUAUCCGGAUUUACUGGGUGUAAAGGGAGCGUAGACGGAGAGGCAAGUCUGAUGUGAAAACCCGGGGCUCAACCCCGGGACUGCAUUGGAAACUGUUUUUCUAGAGUGUCGGAGAGGUAAGCGGAAUUCCUAGUGUAGCGGUGAAAUGCGUAGAUAUUAGGAGGAACACCAGUGGCGAAGGCGGCUUGCUGGACGAUGACUGACGUUGAGGCUCGAAAGCGUGGGGAGCAAACAG
rnacentral:rRNA from 1 species